rnacentral:rRNA from 1 species
CUACGGGCGGCUGCAGUGGGGAAUAUUGCACAAUGGGCGCAAGCCUGAUGCAGCCAUGCCGCGUGUAUGAAGAAGGCCUUCGGGUUGUAAAGUACUUUCAGCGAGGAGGAAGGGAGUAAAGUUAAUACCUUUGCUCAUUGACGUUACCCGCAGAAGAAGCACCGGCUAACUCCGUGCCAGCAGCCGCGGUAAUACGGAGGGUGCAAGCGUUAAUCGGAAUUACUGGGCGUAAAGCGCACGCAGGCGGUUUGUUAAGUCAGAUGUGAAAUCCCCGGGCUCAACCUGGGAACUGCAUCUGGUACUGGCAAGCUUGAGUCUCGUAGAGGGGGGUAGAAUUCCAGGUGUAGCGGUGAAAUGCGUAGAGAUCUGGAGGAAUACCGGUGGCGAAGGCGGCCCCCUGGACGAAGACUGACGCUCAGGUGCGAAAGCGUGGGGAGAAAACAGGAUUAGAUACCCCAGUAGUC